rnacentral:rRNA from 1 species
GGAUGAACGCUUGCUACAGGCUUAACACAUGCAAGUCGAGGGGCAGCAUGGUCUUAGCUUGCUAAGGCCGAUGGCGACCGGCGCACGGGUGAGUAACACGUAUCCAACCUGCCGUCUACUCUUGGACAGCCUUCUGAAAGGAAGAUUAAUACAAGAUGGCAUCAUGAGUCCGCAUGUUCACAUGAUUAAAGGUAUUCCGGUAGACGAUGGGGAUGCGUUCCAUUAGAUAGUAGGCGGGGUAACGGCCCACCUAGUCUUCGAUGGAUAGGGGUUCUGAGAGGAAGGUCCCCCACAUUGGAACUGAGACACGGUCCAAACUCCUACGGGAGGCAGCAGUGAGGAAUAUUGGUCAAUGGGCGAGAGCCUGAACCAGCCAAGUAGCGUGAAGGAUGACUGCCCUAUGGGUUGUAAACUUCUUUUAUAAAGGAAUAAAGUCGGGUAUGGAUACCCGUUUGCAUGUACUUUAUGAAUAAGGAUCGGCUAACUCCGUGCCAGCAGCCGCGGUAAUACGGAGGAUCCGAGCGUUAUCCGGAUUUAUUGGGUUUAAAGGGAGCGUAGAUGGAUGUUUAAGUCAGUUGUGAAAGUUUGCGGCUCAACCGUAAAAUUGCAGUUGAUACUGGAUAUCUUGAGUGCAGUUGAGGUAGGCGGAAUUCGUGGUGUAGCGGUGAAAUGCUUAGAUAUCACGAAGAACUCCGAUUGCGAAGGCAGCCUGCUAAGCUGCAACUGACAUUGAGGCUCGAAAGUGUGGGUAUCAAACAGGAUUAGAUACCCUGGUAGUCCACACGGUAAACGAUGAAUACUCGCUGUUUGCGAUAUACAGCAAGCGGCCAAGCGAAAGCGUUAAGUAUUCCACCUGGGGAGUACGCCGGCAACGGUGAAACUCAAAGGAAUUGACGGGGGCCCGCACAAGCGGAGGAACAUGUGGUUUAAUUCGAUGAUACGCGAGGAACCUUACCCGGGCUUAAAUUGCAGAUGAAUUACGGUGAAAGCCGUAAGCCGCAAGGCAUCUGUGAAGGUGCUGCAUGGUUGUCGUCAGCUCGUGCCGUGAGGUGUCGGCUUAAGUGCCAUAACGAGCGCAACCCUUGUUGUCAGUUACUAACAGGUUCCGCUGAGGACUCUGACAAGACUGCCAUCGUAAGAUGUGAGGAAGGUGGGGAUGACGUCAAAUCAGCACGGCCCUUACGUCCGGGGCUACACACGUGUUACAAUGGGGGGUACAGAGGGCCGCUACCACGCGAGUGGAUGCCAAUCCCCAAAACCUCUCUCAGUUCGGACUGGAGUCUGCAACCCGACUCCACGAAGCUGGAUUCGCUAGUAAUCGCGCAUCAGCCACGGCGCGGUGAAUACGUUCCCGGGCCUUGUACACACCGCCCGUCAAGCCAUGGGAGCCGGGGGUACCUGAAGUGCGUAACCGCGAGGAGCGCCCUAGGGUAAAACUGGUGACUGGG